GCCUGAAUGAGAGGCGGUGCAGCACUUUCACUAAACAAGCACCUUCUGAAGUGAUGAGCCUCUGAAACAUCAACUUCUUCUAUCCGCUCCUUUUACAAACACAUUAUGAUUUCCUACAUCUGCUGUUGGCCAUCCCAUGUCUGGAAAACCCAGACCAUUUAGGAAUUGAAUUCAUGGGUAGCAGUUGAAAGCUGAGCUGUGGAGACUGACCUCGUACAUGUGGUCCCAGCUGCAGAGUGAGAUCGUUGCUUUAACUGCCAUGUACAAGUUGAUGCAAAAGCCUGAGUGUGAUCUUUGGAAAUAAGUGUUCUGGGUAAAGAAUCAGUGCCAGAGACAAGGAGUCAUCAGUUUUACUCGUUUCUCACGUGGAGAAUGAGUUAAGCUGUGUUCAGGGAUGAAACGUGAAGAUGAGCGGGUAUUGAAUAAUCUGCUACAAUACAUGAACAAACAUGAAUAUUUCAGCAAUUCACCUAGUCUAACGAUCCAGAAUCUUUGUCUUUUUUUAUUCUGCAACAGUAAUUAUGAUGGAUACAGUUGAAAAUAAAAUGCCCCAAGAAAGUGCAACAGGCAAGUCACUAUAGUUUUUAUGGAAAUACAGUCAUUACAUGAAAUAGUCCUCAUCCUUAGGCUGCUUAGCAGUUAAACCAGUAUCAAUGGUGUAAACAAUUACGAUGUGAUAACCUGAAUCUCCCCAUGCGUGAACUGCAAAAAUAAUACAGCAGUUGCUAUAUUUAAUCGCUACUUUUAGCUUGCUGAUAUUUGGGCCUUACACAGGAAAUCAAUAUUGUUCCUUAUAACUAGUUAUCUUUUCUGGAAAAAUCAGAAGAAGCUUUACUGAAGCCAAUGGACUAUGAAUGAUAUUCACCUUGUAAGUGGUGAAUCAUUAAAUAACAUUUAAUUGAGCAGACCAAUAAAGUAGCUCAAGAAUGGGACCCUUUUAAAAUCUAUAUAUCACCUUGCAAUGACUACAAUGUGAAGUGUACUCGGUUUUCUGUACUUCGAGCAGUGGUUAAUAUUGGAGAAGAUGGUGCAUGCUUUAUUUUCACUGUGCUGAUUCAUAGUGCCUCCUCAUUGUGAUAAGACAGUUGUAUGCCUAAGACUCCGAGAACACAUGAUUCAGUUAACUAAAUUGACUCUGUGACCUUGUGUCAUGCACUGUGACAGAGGCAUUUUGAUUUUUCCAAACCAUAAAAUUUGUUGUUGCUAAUGGGCAGUAUCAGCAAGACUGCAAGAAUUUAGUAUUUUUCCUGUUUGCAAAGAAAUAAAAAGGUAAAGUUCAUUAGUUCCUGUACAGCUCACAAAAUGUGCAGCUGGUGAGCUGUCCUCUGAAACUCAAUGUCUUGUAGCAGCAAACAGACAAUGAAAAUAAAUAACUAGUGUUUGCAUGGAUGGUCCUAGCCUUAGUUACCGUUUAGCAGCUCUUAUCUGUUAUAAAACCCUGUAAUGCUUCUGUCCUCACUGGAAGAGAGAAUGAAUGUUCAAUUACUUGAGCAAAGAAAAGAAUGUAUGUAUUCUAACGUACCUGUGUUUAAAAAAGAAAGUUCAAUUUCCUCUGUAUUCCUUUUUUAAAGUAUAAAGCAGUAGAGCCUUCUCUGUCAAUAUGGCACAAUGACUGUUUUUAUGCGCCUGUUUACACAAAAUCUAUUAUUAGAGAUUCGGAUCACAAUCAUCCCCCAGUACUAUCAAAGCAUACCUGUAUAAUAAAUAUAUCUUUGUUAAUCGUAAGCAUUUAAAAUAUUUCAUCUGUAUUCCUUCAGUGAAUCCCUGAAGAACUAAGAGGGGGGUAUUCUGAUAGGAAUUGAUACUUGUAAUGUUUACUACUAUUGAUGUCAUCACUCCUUGAAUCCCUUUGGUCUUCAUCCUUCCCCAACUUUUCAUUACCACCUUCUGAUGUAACCUUUUCAAAUUUUGUAAAGGCUUUGCUCUUGGGACCUUGUCUUUCUUUCUGUGUUUUGAAAUACCUGUCCUUUUUAAGUAUGCUACAAAAUAACAAUAGUAUCCUGAGGCACGAAAUGGCUUUAGAUCUCCAGCAUUUUACAUGGGAUUCUUUUAGCUGGGAAGAAGUCAUUUAUCACUUCUAGAGAAAAGAGACAUGAGCACCAGAAGACAGAGUUUUAUAGAAACAGUUGAAGCCUAUGUGCUAUGAGAGUAAUGGAUGAAGGAGAGGUUCCUCAGGGGCUGGAGGAAGCUCUGCCAAUGGUUGUACCUGCUGAAGAAAACAUACCUCAUAAACAAAAGUCAGCAUGCACCUGGUGAACAUGUUGCAGGCUGCCUUACAACAACUUAGCGUCAACAGUUUGGGGGAUAUGGUUUGGGUUUGCUUUCGUGGGAGGGAGAGGUUUAUCCCUAGGUAUUUUGUGACCUAGCUACUGUCUUGGUUCCAUGCUACCAUCUUUACUUUUCUUGGUAUGUCAUUUUUGUGAAUUAACUGCAUUGGCUGUAUUGGCACUGAACUGGGUUGGAUUAACUUGCAUUCUUUUUAAAAGGCAAGACUAAGAUUUACCAUGUGGUUAACUAAUGUAUGCUGUUAAUUGCCUGUAGUGCUUUGUCAAAUUAGUAAUGCUGUGAACUGUGUGGAUGAAAUAGAUAAUAUUAAUGUAUGUAACUUGCUCUGGUGACCUUCCUCGGUGUUUACUUUCUUCUGCUUUCUCUAACUGAAGUUACUAACCAUUUGUGUUGAAACUUAAAGAAAGUAAAAAGGAAAAAAAAACAACAAAACCCAACAACAGACAGCACAGCAUGUUGACAUUUAGAAACCCAGAAUUGGUUCAGGUUUCUCUGUUUUGCUGGGAGCUGGGUUGGGAGGAGGUGCUGGUUGCAUUAAGCAGGCUAUCAGUCUGUAAAAGUGGGUGUAUGUCAUCAGUAAUGCUACAUAUAACCAUUAGUCUGUCACUUCCAAUGUGAAUGUGUACUGUGCAUCCUUAUGUGCUGAUCAGGUGGUAACGUCAAAGUCUUUUCUGUGGAUUAGAAGAGAGAAUUUGUGAAGCCUUAAAAGCGGAUAUUGUAUACAAGCCUCUGGGUAAGUUUCCAUUUAACUCCUAGUGCCAGGUACAAACCUCUUCUGCAUGGUGCUGGUUACAAGAACAUUCAUGCUGUAUUGUCACCUCAGGGAGAAAGGAUGCAUCCUUCGAGGCUGGUCUUCAACUGAGGACACAGCAUCCCCUCUGCACACAGAGGGGCUUUGCUGUAUUCUGUCUGUAUGUAUGCACAUAAUGUGUACAUUCUGGUCUGGGAUUAGGCAUGUGCCCUAGGUUCCUCUGUGGCUGGUGUAUCUCUGAGGUAAACACUUUUUAUCAUGAAAUACAGGUAACUGGAUAGCACCAACAUGGAACAGACAGCUGUCUAUAUAAAUACGGCCUUACAACCGGUCAGUCUUGUAACCUGCAUUGUGAAUGGGGUAUUUAGUUAAAUGCUCUGCUGGGUGUGAGGAACUGUUACAAAUGACACCACAAGGAUAUGCUAAUGCGAUUAGGUGACUUGCAUUGUUGAGACUUCACUCUUGGCCUUGUUUGGGCUCUGUUGCAGUUUAACCAGAUGCAAAAAUGUGUAGAUGGUGAUUUGUAUAUAUUGUACGCUACUGAAACAAGCCUAGGUGAACAAAAAAAAGCCAAGACCUGCAUGUCAAAGGUGAUGGUAGAGACAGCUGCUGGAAGACGUGCCAGGGAGACAUUGUAUUUCCAGUUGAGAGGGGACCUGGGAAGAGCUUCAUAGUAGUAAGUACAAUCCAGACAUACCCAUGAGAGCUUGGGAAUCCAUUAUUAGGCUACUAGGGUGAGGUUCUUUUUUCAGUAGAAGGUUGUUUUCUGUGUACUGAAGUUAUCUUGCCACAGGAGAAGCAGCUCCAAGUGCCCAAGAUGUGCCAUAUUUACAUAGUCAUGGUGAAUCAGUGUUACUUUGUCCUUUCCUACUUGGAGGUGUUAUGUAGGUGUCAAGUCUCAUUCAAUAAAUGAUGCAAGGAUUCAGCAAGCAGAAGGUAAGUAUCACAAUAAAUGUUCCAUGACAGUGGUGCGCUUGUAAUGUAUAUUAUGGUUGUAUAGAAAAAUUGAUGUUUCUGACAGUGAACUAAAUCUUUCUGUGUCCUCUAUGCCUAGAAUGAGUAGAGACAGUGUCCUGCCAGUAAUUGCUGGAAGCAGAGGAGAAGGAUGCUGUAGGAUAUUGGCAUGUGGAGAAGAGCAGAGAUAUUAUUCCUACUCGGGCUGAUUGUUUUUAAUAAAGUUAUUUUUAUGAUAAUUGAAAAUUGUUUCAUUUCCUGUCCCCAUUAACUUCAGUUUAUCCCCAUUUCAAAACUAACCUGUCUGUGCUGAAAAAUACUGUUUGUCCGGUUACCCAGGGUAUCUAUCAGUAUUUGCUUCUGA